ensembl:snoRNA SNORD31 Small nucleolar RNA SNORD31
GUAGAUAUGAUGAUUUCCAAUGAUACCGCCCCAGUCUGAUAAAGUAAUGACUGAUUGGUAUUAGCCUCUGAUCCCAU